rnacentral:rRNA from 1 species
GACGAACGCUGGCGGCGUGCCUAAUACAUGCAAGUCGAGCGGACGGAUGGGAGCUUGCUCCCAGACCGUCAGCGGCGGACGGGUGAGUAACACGUGGGCAACCUGCCUGUAAGACUGGGAUAACUCCGGGAAACCGGGGCUAAUACCGGAUAACUCUUUCCCUCACAUGAGGGAAAGCUGAAAGAUGGCAUAUCGCUAUCACUUACAGAUGGGCCCGCGGCGCAUUAGCUAGUUGGUGAGGUAACGGCUCAUCAAGGCGACGAUGCGUAGCCGACCUGAGAGGGUGAUCGGCCACACUGGGACUGACACACGGCCCAGACUCCUACGGGAGGCAGCAGUAGGGAAUCUUCCGCAAUGGACGAAAGUCUGACGGAGCAACGCCGCGUGGGUGAUGAAGGUUUUCGGAUCGUAAAACUCUGUUGUCAGGGAAGAACAAGUACCGGAGUAACUGCCGGUACCUUGACGGUACCUGACCAGAAAGCCACGGCUAACUACGUG